CUCGGUUGGGCAACACGCCUUCCAUCUACCACCAACCUACCGAAGCGCAGCUCAGACUUGGCAACAAGAGAUCCAGCAGGAAAGUCCCGUCCAGAACAACCAAUGAUAUUGCAUCAAUACCGUCAUCUCUACUCCCUUCAACGGAUCUCCCAUGAACCAUCGAUGACCUGUUCAUGAAUAACUUUCACACUGUGUGUGCGUAUGGAUCCCCGGUUUACUGACUUCUGGUGCAUUACCUCCCUAUGACUUGCACUCCCUGCAGAGAUGGUCAAAGGAAGAAAGGCCGGUGGUUCCUGGUCCCCUGGCUGAUUCCACCCCCCACGACACCCCAUCCGCCUCCCUUGGACAUCGAGUGAAGCCCCGUCCAUACAGUCAGAUCCCUCCUGGACUCCGGAAUUUGUGGGGUUCGGCUCCAGUACCCAGUGGACUGGAAAGUGUAAGGUCCAGAGGAGCAGUGUUGGUUUCGGUGGAUGACAUUCUAGAUCCCAACAUCAUUUGAGGGGAGGGGGGGAAGGGUACUGCCACAUCUACUCCUGCUCCCCCGCUCCGGUGGUAGACGUUGUGCCGGUUUACUAACCACAGGACCUGGAAACCCAUCUUUAUGCACACCUGGCAACCGUCAUUACGCACACCUGCGUCUCAUCAGUCACACUUGGACUUCAUAACUCAUUCUUUAUAUAGUACCCUUCUGUUAGUAGUCGUCAGGUAGUAAUGUUUAUGUUUCCAUGUAAGACGCUUCAUGUUUUGUGUCGUUCCAUGUUCAUUAUUAUUAAACUCACCAACUGCACUUG